GUCCCCAUGUCAAGCGAUCACCUAAUGCCGGUGCGCCAAGAGCUCCCUUCUCCCUCGAGGAGUCUGUAAUGAAGCAGCCAGUCUUAUCUUGCUAGCUCAGAAGGAGUGCCUCAAGUUAUUUGAUCUAUCCAUUAGAGUCCUGAGUGAGUUUCACUCCAUCAUCGACCUCGCCCUUUAGACGACAAGCGGGAUAAGGAGUGUGAGCCC
rnacentral:lncRNA from 1 species